rnacentral:rRNA from 1 species
GACGUAGGGUGCAAGCGUUGUCCGGAUUUACUGGGCGUAAAGAGCGCGUAGGCGGCUCGUUAAGUGAGAAGUGAAAGCUGUGGGCUCAACCCACAAACCGCUUUUCAUACUGGCGAGCUGGAGUGAUGCAGAGGUGGAUAGAAUUCCUGGUGUAGCGGUGAAAUGCGUUGAUAUCAGGAGGAAUACCCGUGGCGAAGGCGGUCCACUGGGCAUCAACUGACGCUGAGGCGCGAAAGCGUGGGUAGC